rnacentral:rRNA from 1 species
CCUACGGGCGGCUGCAGUGGGGAAUAUUGGACAAUGGGGGGAACCCUGAUCCAGCCAUGCCGCGUGUGUGAAGAAGGCCCUCGGGUUGUAAAGCACUUUCAGUGAGGAAGAACGCCUGGUGGUUAAUACCCAUCAGGAAAGACAUCACUCACAGAAGAAGCACCGGCUAACUCCGUGCCAGCAGCCGCGGUAAUACGGAGGGUGCGAGCGUUAAUCGGAAUUACUGGGCGUAAAGCGCGCGUAGGUGGCUUGAUAAGCCGGUUGUGAAAGCCCCGGGCUCAACCUGGGAACGGCAUCCGGAACUGUCAAGCUAGAGUGCAGGAGAGGAAGGUAGAAUUCCCGGUGUAGCGGUGAAAUGCGUAGAGAGCGGGAGGAAUACCAGUGGCGAAGGCGGCCUUCUGGACUGACACUGACACUGAGGUGCGAAAGCGUGGGUAGCAAACAGGAUUAGAUAUCCUAGUAGUC